rnacentral:rRNA from 1 species
GCAAGUCGAGCGCCGUAGCAAUACGGAGCGGCAGACGGGAGAGUAACACGUGGGAACGUGCCCUUUGGUUCGGAACAACCCAGGGAAACUUGGGCUAAUACCGGAUAAGCCCUUACGGGGAAAGAUUUAUCGCCGAAGGAUCGGCCCGCGUCUGAUUAGCUAGUUGGUGGGGUAAUGGCCCACCAAGGCGACGAUCAGUAGCUGGUCUGAGAGGAUGAUCAGCCUCACUGGGACUGAGACACGGCCCAGACUCCUACGGGAGGCAGCAGUGGGGAAUAUUGGACAAUGGGCGCAAGCCUGAUCCAGCCAUGCCGCGUGGGUGAUGAAGGCCCUAGGGUUGUAAAGCCCUUUCGGCGGGGAAGAUAAUGACGGUACCCGCAGAAGAAGCCCCGGCUAACUUCGUGCCAGCAGCCGCGGUAAUACGAAGGGGGCUAGCGUUGCUCGGAAUCACUGGGCGUAAAGCGCACGUAGGCGGAUUGCUAAGUCAGGGGUGAAAUCCUGGAGCUCAACUCCAGAACUGCCUUUGAUACUGGCGAUCUC